rnacentral:rRNA from 1 species
CAAUAGCGUAUAUUAAAGUUGUUGCAGUUAAAAAGCUCGUAGUUGGAUCUCGGGUCCAGGCUUGUGGUGCAGCUUAGGCUGCUUACUGCUCGUCCUGACCUACCUCCCGGUUUUCCCUUGGUGCUCUUAAGUGAGUGUCUUGGGUGGCCGGAACGUUUACUUUGAAAAAAUUAGAGUGCUCAAAGCAGGCUUUUGCCUGAAUAUUAGUGCAUGGAAUAAUUGAAUAGGACCUCGGUUCUAUUUUGUUGGUUUUCGGAACUCGAGGUAAUGAUUAAGAGGGACAGACGGGGGCAUUCGUAUUACGGUGUUAGAGGUGAAAUUCUUGGAUCGCCGUAAGACGAACUACUGCGAAAGCAUUUGCCAAGAAUGUUUUCAUUAGUCAAGAACGAAAGUCAGAGGUU